UACAGAGGUCCCCAAGCGUUGUUCGGAUUCACUGGGCGUAAAGGGUGCGUAGGUGGUGAGGUAAGUCGGAUGUGAAAUCUCCGAGCUCAACUCGGAAAAUGGCAUUGGAAAACUACCUUGCUAGAGGGUUGGAGGGGGGGACUGGAAUACUUGGUGUAGCAGUGAAAUGCGUAGAUAUCAAGUGGAACACCAGUGGCGAAGGCGAGUCCCUGGACAACUCCUGACACUGAGGCACGAAAGCUAGGGGGAGCAAACAGG
rnacentral:rRNA from 1 species